rnacentral:tRNA from 1 species
AGUCUUAUAUUCAAUAAUGAUAUAAAAUUGCAAAUUUUAAGGAAUAAAAUAAUUUAUUAAGGCUU